AUGUAGCGCAAUGGAUAGCGCAUUGAACUUCUAAUUCAGAGGUCGUGAGUUUGAAUCUCACCUGAGAUG